rnacentral:other from 1 species
UUUCCUGGUUUAUUCGAUAGUUUUUACUACUCUCGAGCCGAUAUAAAAAAAUUAGGAGAUUUUGGAAAAUUCUUGUUGUGCAUGCCCAAAAUUGGGAAGCCUGAUAAAUUUACAAAAUCACCGCCUUGAACUUUACGGUUCAGGGCAGUAAAUAACAACGGUAAUCUGGGAA